rnacentral:rRNA from 1 species
AACAUGCUGAAUAUACCGGUUCUCGUUAGAUCACCGAAGUCAAGCAUCAUUGGGCGCGGUCAGUACUUGGGUGAGUGACCACCUGGGAACACUGCGUGCCGUU